AGAGUUUGAUCCUGGCUCAGAACGAACGCUGGCGGCGUGGAUAAGACAUGCAAGUCGAACGAGAGAAUUGCUAGCUUGCUAAUAAUUCUCUAGUGGCGCACGGGUGAGUAACACGUGAGUAACCUGCCCCCGAGAGCGGGAUAGCCCUGGGAAACUGGGAUUAAUACCGCAUAGUAUCGAAAGAUUAAAGCAGCAAUGCGCUUGGGGAUGGGCUCGCGGCCUAUUAGUUAGUUGGUGAGGUAACGGCUCACCAAGGCGAUGACGGGUAGCCGGUCUGAGAGGAUGUCCGGCCACACUGGAACUGAGACACGGUCCAGACACCUACGGGUGGCAGCAGUCGAGAAUCAUUCACAAUGGGGGAAACCCUGAUGGUGUGACGCCGCGUGGGGGAAUGAAGGUCUUCGGAUUGUAAACCCCUGUCAUGUGGGAGCAAAUUAAAAAGAUAGUACCACAAGAGGAAGAGACGGCUAACUCUGUGCCAGCAGCCGCGGUAAUACAGAGGUCUCAAGCGUUGUUCGGAAUCACUGGGCGUAAAGCGUGCGUAGGCUGUUUCGUAAGUCGUGUGUGAAAGGCGCGGGCUCAACCCGCGGACGGCACAUGAUACUGCGAGACUAGAGUAAUGGAGGGGGAACCGGAAUUCUCGGUGUAGCAGUGAAAUGCGUAGAUAUCGAGAGGAACACUCGUGGCGAAGGCGGGUUCCUGGACAUUAACUGACGCUGAGGCACGAAGGCCAGGGGAGCGAAAGGGAUUAGAUACCCCUGUAGUCCUGGCAGUAAACGGUGCACGCUUGGUGUGCGGGGAAUCGACCCCCUGCGUGCCGGAGCUAACGCGUUAAGCGUGCCGCCUGGGGAGUACGGUCGCAAGAUUAAAACUCAAAGAAAUUGACGGGGACCCGCACAAGCGGUGGAGUAUGUGGCUUAAUUCGAUGCAACGCGAAGAACCUUACCUGGGCUUGACAUGUAAUGAACAACAUGUGAAAGCAUGCGACUCUUCGGAGGCGUUACACAGGUGCUGCAUGGCCGUCGUCAGCUCGUGUCGUGAGAUGUUUGGUUAAGUCCAGCAACGAGCGCAACCCCUGUUGCCAGUUACCAGCACGUGAAGGUGGGGACUCUGGCGAGACUGCCCAGAUCAACUGGGAGGAAGGUGGGGACGACGUCAGGUCAGUAUGGCCCUUAUGCCCAGGGCUGCACACGUACUACAAUGCCCAGUACAGAGGGGGCCGAAGCCGGGAGGCGGAGGAAAUCCUGAAAACUGGGCCCAGUUCGGACUGUAGGCUGCAACCCGCCUACACGAAGCCGGAAUCGCUAGUAAUGGCGCAUCAGCUACGGCGCCGUGAAUACGUUCCCGGGUCUUGUACACACAGCCCGUCA
rnacentral:rRNA from 1 species